UGCGCAGGUGGGCUGGUAAGUUCGAUGUGAAAGCCCCGGGCUUAACCCGGGAAAGGCAUUGGAUACUACUGGUCUGGAGGAUUGGGAGGGGGGGACGUGGAAUUCUUGGUGUAGCAGUGAAAUGCGUAGAUAUCAAGAGGAACACCAGUGGCGAAGGCGAGUCCCUGGACAAUACCUGACACUGAGGCACGAAAGCCAAGGGAGCAAACA
rnacentral:rRNA from 1 species